GAGCUUUUUAAGGCGGCACAUGCACUACAACUGGAACAAUACAGAGAAGACGAGCGCGGCCCCUGCGUAAGGAUGACCCGCAAAUUCAUGGAGCAUCCUGUACUUUC